rnacentral:lncRNA from 1 species
UCAUAAGGACUAAAAAGUAAUUUAACUUCUCUGUUUUGUGGUCAAAAUUACAAGUAUCCAGGAGUCUAAGUUAGUAGCUCCUUGACAAAUCAACUCUAAUCAUUAUGUGGUAAGAAGAGAUAUCCAAAUGUUCUCUUCCUCCGUGGUCCUCAGUUUGACAAAUCUUCUUUUUUGAAGUAAAAAUUAAUUAGCCCUUUAAAUUUUAUCAUGACUAUUUCCUAGUCUACAGCCUCUAUUAUUGCCGGAUGGAGAAGAUUAUAUAUGUUUUGCAUAGUGAGUAGUACUUUUAGUAUCCUGUGCAGCUUAUGAGUUUCUAAGAACCUCAGGUAUUCUACUUGUUUACAACACUCUAGCAAAGAAGAUGGCAAUCUCUAGCACCGAUGAUUUUCAGACCACAAUUCAGAAAAGUUAUGACAAAAUGAGUGAGUUAAAAGCCUUUGAUGAUACAAAGGCAGGUAUCAAAGGACUUGUUGAUGCUGGAAUCACUAAGGUGCCUCGAAUAUUCAUGCUACCACCAAAAGACAGACUGGAGUCCUGUUAGUAGAUUUCCAGAUUAGAUGAGUCAGCAAAAGUAGUUAUACAUUUUAGCGGGAAAAACAGUUAAGAACAAUACACAGGAAUUUAGUUAGCUUCAGGAAAUCAGUUAGCAACAGAUUUAACUCAAUCUCUUUCAAUGUAUGCAACUAUAAAUACUUGUACAAGUCAUUGUAAAUACAUGAAUAGAUACAUGUUGUUUGUCUACAUUCAAUCUUCUUCAAUCAUUUCUUCUCUUCCAUAAUCUGUGGUUAUUUUCUCGAAACCUCUCCGAUAGGAUCCUGAAAUAGCCUUUGAAUCCUCGAGUUGUAAUUAACUCCUGCAAUUCAGCUAUUAGAGCCAUACGAUUCCUUGGCAUCAAUGGCGAAAGGGACAAGAGCAAGUGGAGACCCAAUCAAUGAACCUUCAACUUCAGAAGUAGGGGAUUUGCGUGAUAUGAUGCAGAAUUUGAUAACAGAGGUUGGAGCUUUAGCAGGUAAAAUUUCUUCUCUGGAAAAGUUAGAUCAAACAGUGAUUGAGUUGCAGAACCAAUUUGCAGCAUCUGGGGAGAAUCGAAGGGACAAGACACCAUUGGAAACUGAGGAGGGACCUACCGGAAAAGUUCAGUCAGAAGAAAGAAUCCACAGAAACAGGGGACGAAGCCCUAACAGUGGUAAUAGUUACCAUUCUAACCAGUCGAAUUUCACUCGAUGGUCAAGAAUGGAAUUCUUGAGGUUUAAUGGGGAGGAUCUUAGAUCAUGGUUGUUCAAAAUUGAACAAUUCUUUUCUAUGGAGAAUGUUCUUGCUGAAGAAAAAAUUGGGGUGGCUGCUCUGCAAUUGGAGGGGGAAGCCAUUCAGUGGCAUCUAUCGUUCAUGAGAUACAGGCAGUAUCUGCAGCCGGCCACUUGGAAUGAUUAUGUGAUGGCAUUAGUAGAAAGGUUUGGUACUGACUUUGAUGAUCCCAUGGAGGAAAUCAAAAAAGUGAAACAGGUGGGCAGUGUGAAGGAUUAUCAAGCGAUCUUUGAGAAGAAUUUGACUAGGGUGAACUUAUCUCAGGAGAAUGCGAUCAGUUGUUUUUGGGAGGAUUGAAACCAGAGCUGAAUAUUGCUGUCAAAAUCACAAACCCUACAACAUUAUCUCAAGUUUAUAAAAGUGCUAGGAUGCAAGAAGUAUUCCUUUCUGCUAUUAAGCAACCUCAUUCUUCAUUAUAUUCAAACUACAAUGGAAAUUCAACAAGAAGGGGAGUAGAUCAGAGGGUUCCGAAUAAGCCACUCUUACCAACUCCUGGUAGAGGGGGAGCACCAAUACAUAAAGGGUUUCAAAGAAGAUAGUUAAGCCCAGAGGAAAUGAAUGAGAAAAGAGCAAAAGGCCUUUGCUUCUUUUGUGAUGAAAAAUAUGUUAUGGGUCACAAGUGUAGAAACUUGAAGCAGCUUUACAUUCUGGAAUUAGAAGAAACAGAUGGAGAGAAAUAUUGUGAGGAAGAAGAGCAAAAUGAGGAGGUGAAUCAAGAAUUGGAGAUGCAACAAGGCAUUGAACAGAUGGAGAUAUCCAUCCAUGCUUUGAAUGGUUCAUUAGGGUAUAGGACCUUGAGGGUCACUGGAUAUCACUCCAAACAGCCAUUACACAUUUUGGUGGACACUGGGAGUUCCCACAACUUCAUUGAUCCAUCAUUGGUUGAACAAUUAGGGUGUCAAGUCACACAAACUAUGCCUCAGUUAGUUGCUGCAGCCAAUGGUACUAUGAAGGUGGAUAAGUCGUGCAAAUUUUCUUGGUUGUUACAAGGAGCAGAGUUUGCAGCCGAAUUUUUGUUACUUCCAUUGGGAAAUUGUGGGGUGGUACUAGGAGUUCAAUGGCUACUGACUCUAGGUGAUAUCAAGAUGAAUUUCAGCAAACUCACUAUGGAGUUUUGGUAUAAUGGCAGAAAACACUUACUAAGGGGUGCAGGCAAACAAAUUACGUGUGUUGGAGCUGGAAAACUUGGGAAGUUAACAGGUAAUCAAUCUACAAUUAUGUAUGAUACAAGUACUUCUCACAUGAGUGCUGAACUACUUGCGUUAGAAACUAAAGACAACAUUGACAAGGAUCCUAGAAUAGUGAGUCUAUUGAAAGAUUAUAGAGAAUUAUUUGCUGAACCUACAGGAUUACCACCAUCUAGGGGGAUUUAUGAUCAUAAGAUUGUGUUACAAUCGGGAACAGAACCUGUUAAUAAAAGACCCUAUAGAUAUCCUUCUGUUAAAAAGGACAUCAUUGAAGAACUUGUGCAACAAAUGUUAGAUCAGGGGAUUGUUUAGCCUAGUAGUUGUCCAUUUGCCUCACCUUUGGUGUUGGUUGGCAAGAAGGAUGGCUCAUGGAGGCUAUGUGUAGAUUAUAGUGAUCUUAACAAGCACACUGUUAAGAACAAAUUCCCUAUACCUUUGGUAGAAGAUCUUUUGGAUGAACUUGGGGGUUCAGUAAUCUUCUCCAAAAUAGAUCUUAGGGCUGGGUACCAUCAGUUGAGGAUGGCCAAAAAAGACAUACCAAAAACAGCAUUUCGAACUCACUCGGGGCACUUUGAGUAUUUGGUAAUGCCAUUUGGAUUAUCUAAUGCACCAGCAACAUUUCAAGGGUUGAUGAACACUGUGUUUCGAAAGUUUUUGAGAAAGUCUGUCCUAGUUUUUUUUGAUGAUAUUCUGAUCUAUAGUCAGUCUAUUGAAGAUCAUCUGUUGCACCUGAGAAACGUGUUUGCUGCAAUGAAGGAUCAUCACUUACUAGCCAAGGAAAGCAAAUGUUUCUUUGGAGUGGAUCGAAUUGAAUAUCUGGGCCAUUUCAUUACCAGGGAAGGAGUAUCCACUGAUCCUGCAAAAAUACUUGCUGUUCAAAAUUGGCCAGUACCAACUACUAUCAAGCAAUUAAGAGGCUUCAUUGGAUUGGCGGGUUAUUACAGGAGAUUCAUACAAGGGUUUGGCAUCAUCAGUAAACCACUAACUGAUCUUUUGAAGAAGGAUAGUUUCAAAUGGUCACCAGCUGCUACUGAAGCGUUCGAACAACUGAAGGAAGCUUUAACUAGGACUCCUGUCCUCGCCUUACCUGAUGCAAACAAAACAUUUGUGGUUGAAACAGAUGCUAGUGGGUAUGGCAUUGGAGCGGUGUUGAUGCAACAAGGUCAUCCUAUUGCCUUUAUCAGCAAGACUCUUUCGCCAAGACAUGCAGCCAUGUCUGUCUAUGAUAGGGAAUUACUAGCUAUUGUACAUGCCGUUUCUAAAUGGUCUCAGUAUUUGCUUGGGCAAAGGUUCAUUAUCAGAACUGAUCAGAGAGCUCUGAAGUUCUUAAUGGAACAAAAAUUGCACACCAAUUCCCAACUUAUGUGGUUGACCAAGUUAAUGCCUUUUGAUUAUACCAUUGAGUACAAGGCAGGGAUUGAAAAUAAGGCUGCUGAUGCACUUUCAAGGGUUUCUGGUGCAGAACUCCUGGCUUUGAUUAUUUCCAAUAAUGACUCUGAAUUGUUGCAAGCUAUUGAAUAUAGUUGGACAGUAGAUAUUGAACUAAAAGGACUGAUUGAGAGGUUGCAAGCUGACCCACAUACUCAUUCACAGUUCACUUGGUAUCAAAACAAAUUGAGGAGGAAAGGCAGAUUAGUUGUUGGCAAGGUGGGACAACUAAGGCAAGAUAUCAUCACUUUGUGGCAUGCUACACCCCAAGGGGGCCAUUCCGGGAUUGAGGCUACAUUGAAGAGGUUACUUACACUCUUCUAUUGGAAGGGAAUGCGACAGGAUGUUAAAGUGUUUGUGCAAAAGUGUGAUGUGUGCCAGAGAAGUAAAGCUGAUCUAGCAGCUUCUCCUGGUCUUUUACAACCCUUACCAAUCCCUGAGGUAGUGUGGUCUCAAAUCAGCAUGGAUUUCAUUGAUGGUUUACCAAAAUCCCAUGGCUAUGAAGUCAUACUAGUGGUAGUUGACAGGCUUAGCAAGUAUGGCCAUUUUAUUCCUCUUAAACAUCCCUAUACAGCUCAGUCGGUAGCUAAGGUUUUCAUGGAUGUCAUAGUCAGACUUCAUGGUCUACCCGAUAAUAUCACUAGUGACAGGGAUGCUGUGUUUCUCAGUACAUUCUGGCAGGAAUUAUUUUCAUUACAAGGUGUUCAGUUGAAUCUAUCUUCAGCAUAUCAUCCGCAGAGUGAUGGUCAAACUGAAGUUCUUAAUAGGUGCUUGGAGACCUAUCUGAGAUGUUUUUGUGCGGAAGAUGCUAAAGGGUGGUAUGACUGCCUACCGAUGGCAGAGUUUUGGUACAAUACUUGCCAUCACUCUGCUAUUGAGUUAACUCCUUAUGAAGCACUUUAUGGCAGACCUCCUCCAUUGCAUUUACCUUACCUGCCAGGGGAGUCCUCAUCUGCUGAGGUGGAUAAUACCCUCAUCAAUAGAGAACUGAAACUACAAUUGUUGAGGCAUCAUUUGAUACGCGCUCAGUUGAGGAUGAAACAACAAGCUGAUAAACAUAGAAGUGACAGAAGUUUUGCAGUUGGUGAUUGGGUAUACUUCAAGGUCAGGCCUUACAGACAAGUGACUAUAUCCGAGACUCCUCAUCACAAGCUCGCUGCUAAAUACUAUGGCCCAUUCCAGAUUAUUCGAAAGGUUGGUCCAGUAGCAUAUACUUUGCUCUUUCCAGAUUCUGUGAAGAUUCAUCCAACAGUACAUGUGUCCCUCUUAAAGAAGUGUUAUGAAGUUCCUUCCCUGGUAACCUAUCCACCAACCACUGAUUUAGCAAAUCCCCAUUGUUCAGACCCUGAAGCUAUAUUGCAGCGAAGGAUGGUUAAGAAGGGUAAUAAGGCAGUGACGCAAGUCUUGGUUAAGUGGAAAGAUUUGUCGGCAGACGCUGCUACUUGGGAGUACUCGAACAUCCUUAAGACCAGAUUUCCAUCUUUUGAUCCUUGAGGACAAGGAUCUCUUUGCGGGGGGGAGUACUGUUAGUAGAUUUCCAGAUUAGAUGAGUCAGCAAAAGUAGUUAUACAUUUUAGCGGGAAAAACAGUUAAGAACAGUACACAGUCAGGAAUUUAGUUAGCUUCAGGAAAUCAGUUAGCAACAGAUUUAACUCAAUCUCUUUCAAUGUAUGCAACUAUAAAUACUUGUACAAGUCAUUGUAAAUACAUGAAUAGAUACAUGUUGUUUGUCUACAUUCAAUCUUCUUCAAUCAUUUCUUCUCUUCCAUAAUCUGUGGUUAUUUUCUCGAAACCUCUCCGAUAGGAUCCUGAAAUAGCCUUUGAAUCCUCGAGUUGUAAUUAACUCCUGCAAUUCAGCUAUCAAGUCCUCGGAUACAUGUGAAACACAGUUCAUUUUUCCAGUGAUAGACCUUGAAGGCAUUUCUAAGGAUCCAAUCAAGCAUAAAGAGAUUGUGGACAAAGUUCGAGAUGCGUCAGAAACAUGGGGUUUCUUCCAAGUGGUUAAUCAUGGCAUUCCAGUAUCUGUCCUGGAAGAAAUGUUACAAGGAACACGAAGGUUUUUUGAGCAAGAUAUUGAGGUUAAGAAUCAGUAUUACACUCGAGAUAUCACGAAAAAGGUGGUUCAUUCUUGCAAUUUUGAUUUGUAUAGCCCUUCUGUUCCAGCUGCAAAUUGGAGAGACACACUUUCCUGUUUAAUGGCUCCUAAUCCUCCUAGUCCAGAAGAAUUUCCAGCAGCAUGCAGGUAUGUUCUAAACAUUAAUUAGCAAAAUAACAAACUUAAUUUUUUUACCUAGUAACUAAAUAUGUAUUAUGUUGUGACAAAAAUCAAGAAUAAGUCAUGCUAAUGUCGGUAGUUAUGUCCAGGUGUCAUAUCUUUACAAUAAUUUUGGUGGAUAUUGUUAGGAAAAAUUAGAAAACUGGAUUUUCUAUCAGUUUUAUGAUAACCACUGUUUCACGAGUUUACUGAAAUUUCUGUAGGGAAAUACUAAUAGAGUUCUCUGAUCAUAUCAUGAAAUUGGGAAAAUCUGUGUUUGAAUUAUUGUCCGAGGGUCUAGGUCUCAAUCCAUCUCAUCUCAAUGAUAUCGGUUGCGCUGAGGGACUCGCUGUUUUGGGCCAUUACUAUCCAGCAUGUCCUCAGCCAGAACUCACCAUGGGCACCAGUAAGCAUUCUGACAAUGGUUUUAUCACCGUGCUUCUACAAGAUCAUAUCGGAGGACUUCAAGUGCUUCACCAGAAUCAGUGGGUUGAUGUUCCUCCUACGCCUGGUGCUAUUGUCGUGAACAUUGGAGAUCUUCUACAGGCUAGUAUUGUUUUCCUUUAUGAAUAUUAUAUCUACUCUAUAUGAAUGAAUAUAACAUAUUAUUUGGUACAGAUUACUAGUUACGUUGUGCUAAUUGUUGUUGCUUUUGUUUCAGCUCAUAUCAAAUGACAAGUACAUAAGUGUUGAACACAGAGUAUUGACAAAUAAACUAAGUUCAAGAAUAUCAGUUGCAUGCUUCUUUGGUACAGGUCCAUUGCCAUCUUCCAAUUUUUAUGGACCAAUUACUGAAUUGUUGUCAGAAGAUAAUCCUCCAAAAUAUCGUGUGACCACAGUGAACGACUACACUGGUUAUUUCAGUAAAAAGGGUCUAGAUGGAACUUCUGCACUGUUGCAUUACAAGAUCUAAUCAUAGUAGUGUAACGAUUGAAUAUAUGAUGAAAACUGAGACUUUAACUUUUGAUGUAUCUUAUGCUGAAGCUUCAUAGAUGGUGAAACAUGACCUGUAUCAAUAUGUGAUGGAAAAUUUAUGUAGUCCAUUUUCUUUUAUGUGCUUUGGCUUUAAUUUUUUCUCCGAGGAGUUCUUUCACUUCAGAACAUACCGAAAAGAUAGUGAGAAGCAAUAUCAAACAGAGGGAGUAAUCCAUACAUACAGUGUGAGGAAACAGAACGGGAGAGUAGUAUUAUAGAAAGGUGUGUGAAAUAAAAGAAGGUUAAUUCUUUUAAAUUUGUAGUAGUCUUUUGAGAUUACAAAGUAUUAAAUUUCUCACUAUAGUGGCAAUAUGUUGCUGUACUCGGGUAUUAUGUUUUCAGCGCUAAAAGGACUUGGUACCUUGUUACUCUCUUUUUCUUGUUAUUUGUCGUGGAUAUUAUUCCUACGGCUAAUUUUUUUUUAACACGAUUAUAUAAGAAUGAUGCAUGCUUUGUUUUGUUCUGCUUGUCUACCUUCUAUUUUUGGGAUAUGUGUGUGGUGAAGAGUGACAGUGGGUUCAGACAAUGACCAGUGAAAGGGACUAAAACAAGUUAAAGCUUAUCAUGAAGGUCUACUUGUUUAUGGCCUCUUCUUUUUUGUGGAUAGGAAGAUAGUGCUUUGCAUAGAGAGUAGUAUUUAUAAUAUCGUGCGCGGCCCAUUAAGUUCUAAGAACCUUAGGAACUCUAUUGUUUAUAACAUCCUAGCAAAGAAGAUGGUAGUCUCUAGCACUGAUGAUUUUCAGGCCACAGUUCAAAAAAGUUAUGACAAAAUGAGUGAGUUAAAAGCCUUUGAUGAUACUAAGGCAGGUGUCAAAGGGCUUGUUGAUGCUGGAAUCACUAAAGUACCUCAAAUAUUCAUUCUACCACCAAAAAACAGGCCGGAGUCCUUGGAUACAAGUGAAAAACAGUUCAUUUUCCCAGUGAUAGACCUUGAAGGUAUUGACGA